rnacentral:rRNA from 1 species
UACGUAGGGUGCGAGCGUUAAUCGGAAUUACUGGGCGUAAAGCGUGCGUAGGCGGUUGCACAAGCUUGAUGUGAAAGCCCCGGGCUCAACCUGGGAAUGGCAUUGAGGACUGUGCGGCUUGAGUGCGGCAGAGGGAGGUGGAAUUCCAGGUGUAGCAGUGAAAUGCGUAGAGAUCUGGAGGAACACCGAUGGCGAAGGCAGCCUCCUGGGCCGACACUGACGCUGAUGCACGAAAGCGUGGGGAGCAAACAGG